UUUCCGUAGGUGAACCUGCGGAAGGAUCAUUAUUGUAUAACCGGCCUUCGGGGGCUGGCUCUCACCCGAUGGUUCGUUAACGCCCUAGUUCCCUCACGCACAUCCAUCUCACCCCUCUGUGCACCCCCGCGUGGGUCCCCCUUUGGCUUGUUCUGAGGGGGUCUUACUUUGUCACGCAAGCUUUCUAUGCAAUAUUGAAUGUUUUUUUUGUUUUUGCGAUUACUCAAUCAAUCCAACUUUCAACAACCGAUCUCGUGGCUCUCUCUUCGAUAAAGAACG
rnacentral:misc_RNA from 1 species